AGUUCCCAAGAAGAGGGGGCACGCCACGCCACGCAGGUAUGCCUCUGCAGCCGCAGAACCAGAGAGUACUGCAGAGGGUUCUCCUCCACCCAGGAGAACAUCCCGAUGGUGAGGUCCGUCCAUGGCCCCAUAAGCCUGGAGGGCCCCAGCUGCCCAAGGCCUCCUGAGUGGGCUCGUACUGCGCAUGCACAUGCUAUGCGCUGCGCGUUCAACGUAGCCAGGCAUCUGGAAGAGUUCAAAGGUGGUGAGAGGCAGGAUCACUGACACGGGCUCUUGGGGAACCUGGGCGUCUAAUUCCAAGCUGGAACCUAACCAGUGCAGUCUAUUCCUCCCAAAAGUUUCCCCUGGCAGAUCCAGGGGAAACUUGAAAAUCUUGGCACAGCUGGGUGGGGCGGAGCUCUCCUCCGAUAAGAGGUACCCGGGAGGCCUGCUUGCUGAAGGUCCUGGCUGCUGGGUCAGGUGCGGGAGAGUGAACUGUGCGUCCGGGUUCCUCACAGCCCUCUGGAACAAGGGGGAAUAUAGGCCAGCCUGGACCUUGUACCCUGACAGGACCUGAGUCAGAAGAGGCCAGGUCACCAUUGCAGGCUCUUGGGUGAAACGAAGCAUCUGCAAAUGCGCAGGACGGCACCGUUCUGAACUAAGGCGGCUAGUCACCUUAAAGCGAGAUACCGCGAGAACUCUGAAGCCUCGCUCGGUGAGACCAGAGUGUCCUGGAAUGAGAGACACGUGGGAGCCGUGGUUCCUGUACAGGCCCCAGUUCCCAUCAGCAGCACGAACAAGUGGGAACUGACUGUCGCCACCUGUGUAGCAACAGUAACUCAUCACAUUUCAGCCGGUGGGGAUGCUCCACACGGGAACGUAUCCAGGUGGUUCAUCUGAGCCGUGGACCCACAGGCCUGAAGAGCCCUAGCUGACUAAGCCAUGCUGAAUGGAUCAUUUACAUUCGUGGAGCACUUCAGGACUCACGGCAGCCAACUACCAGGCCUCCGCUGUGGGAAUCUUCUUGGUAUGCAGGCACAGACAAGCCCCUUGAAGAUGGCUGCUGCCCCAGAUUUUCCUCUAGGUCCUCCUGUACUGAAUUUCUUCUAAGUAGCUCAUGGAAGAAUCUGGUUCAUUAUAUGUGAAGUUUAUUUGGAAGAAUGAAAAGAAUUGUUGCCCUCCAGAAGAACUGCUUAGUGACAUCUGUGGAGAGGUGCUGGACAUCUUGAGAUUCCUCCUGACCUAGGGCUAUGGAGUGGGGCCAAAGCCAGCACUAUGGUUGCCCUUUGUCACAUUGCUGCAGUUUGUAAGUUUGCAUUAGUCAAUAGCACUUGGAGGGUCUGAUUACUUACUUGUGAACAUUUGCUCUUGGCUGUAAACUGGUAAAUAAACAAAGGCUCUGCAUGAGAGAGCAAUGACAUUUUGGUAAUUCUAAGGGAAAAAAAGUCGAUUUGAGCACUUGAUUAUAAAGAGAGGAAACCAAGAUGUUACAUUUUGCAGCCGUUUGUCCCCCCCAUUUGUAACUGACAGAUUGGAUUUCACACAUGGAAACUGGAAGACGACUUGUCUUUAAAAACGGUCUAAUUACAUUUGGAACUUAAGGGAAAUAGAAGAUUCCAGGAUAUUUUUGUUUUGAAUUUGAAAUUGGGGACAGUGCAUGCACAGUUGUUUGUUUUCACACUUUAUGGGAAUGAAUCACACCAUGUCGACCGUGAGAUUUAAUUAUGUAUUUAGCAGAGAAGCUGGAGGUGUGCCAGUGCAAUAGCUAAGCUGCUGGAAUAGCCUGUGCACAGCCCCUUCCAGUUUCUAGACACUGCAAACCUUUCCUAAUAGCACGUUUAACAUGGGAGAUGGAAUAGUGUUGAUGAGAUGCAUCAAGUCUCAGCGCAGUGCUUCCGCGAGGAAACAAAAUGUUGAUGUUAAAAGAAGGACAUUUUUAUAAUGGGGAGCAAAGCUGCUGAACCUCUAGGCAUAGGGUCUAACUUUAAUUGAAGCAAUUUGAGCAAAAUGUGUCAUCUCUUCCUGUUCCCAUUGUUCUUUUUGUCUCCAAGUGGCUGCAUGAAAUCUCUUCAUCCUAAACCUUCACACGCAUGUAGAACUUGUUGCAAUAUUUAGAGGUUGGAGACCAAGGAGUGAAAUGAAACUUGAAUUUUUUUAUUUAAAAAUUUACCAUUCUUUUAAUGAGUCUUCUUCCAUACUCAAUUCAGAACUGGAUUGGCUGAGGAAAUUCUUAGAUUAAUUCUUAGAUUAAUAUAUGUUCAAAGAUUUUUUUUCUGAUAACAGCUAACUAAAUAGGUCUACAUAUUUAUGAAGGAUUCAUGAAGGACACUUACAUAAACUAAAAGGGAAUAGGCAAGACUGAUAUGAUUUUACCAUAAAAUGUAUUUCUUUCUUAAAUGUGUCUGUCCAGUAUUUUUAUUCUAAGGUUCUUGAAAGUAGCUGGGACAAACCCAGAGUUGCUUUUUUUUCUUAAUGUGUCAAAAGUCUAACAGAAGUCAUACAUUUGCUAGCAUGUGAGAGCUGUAAGGCUAAUUAAAUAUUUUUUUCUUAUUUUAUAUAAUUGUAUCAUCCUGGUCGAUUGACUGCAGAUGAUAAUUUAGAGUUUCAUUGUCCAUGGAAGAAAAUAAUAAAAAACAAAUUUUUCAUGGUAAAAAAGUCUGUGAUCCAAGGAUGUAACUCUAACAUUUAUAUUCUUAUGAUUAUUUUUGUCUGCAUUUUUCCUUGUCCCUACGUGGGGAUGGGAAUUCUACACAAAAGCAACAUAAUGACUUUGGGCAUAGAAUGGGAAAUGGAGAAUGCUAACUCCUUUUAGUUUAUAGUAAAUUCUAUCUGGAAACAAUAUUUGAUCUUUUGAUCCUUGGUCCCUCUGUCUAUAGCUAUUGAAUUCAUUCUCCUUUAAUCUAGGUUAUUGUUUGUGGAGGUUGUUGGAAUUUGGUCUCAGUGACUCUUCUGAUAGGCAAUGAUACAAUAUUUUUUCAAUAAGGUGUAGAUCACAAAGCAUCCCCCAACAGCCUCCUGCACACUAAUCUCUUCUGAUUCCGUUUCCCAGGAAACCCAACCUGCGACAGCCUCGAAGAUGUUUCUUUGGAUCCCAGAUGUUCAAAGCAUCGUCAUGUUAGGAGCCAGGAAAUGUUUUGUCAUUUCUGUUAUGUGUGAAGAAUAAUAUUUAAAAUAUUUCCCUGAAUUUGUUAUUUUCUGUCUUGCUUUGCAAUUUCUAUCAUUUGUAAACUCAAGUAGGUUUUUCUCUGUAUGUUUUUGGUGUGCCUGAUUAAACCUGUUAUUGUGGUUUUAUUUUGACACUCUUGGUGUUAAUUUUCAGGAAACACCUGUCUAAAGAACAACAUAGAGCUCAUCCUACAGGAGUGAGCCAGCCAUCUCUGCCAGGCAUAGUGGAGUUCUAACAUCUGUGUGUUCAGGCCAAAUGGUGUCUGAACCAGUUUGAUUUAAUUUACUUAUCAUUCACGUUGGAGGUAAUUCACAAUAUAAAGAUAUGUUCACAAAGAGAUCAUUUCUGC
ensembl:lncRNA